AUGACUGCCAUAUCACAUAGGGUUCCUGCAGAAAUCAGUCUCUGGACAAUUGGUUUCAUGGUCCUUCCAAUGGAGUUUCUUGUUCAAGAUUUGCCUUAGCCUGAAGAAAGUGGCAAUACUGAGAGCACAAAGUGGGAAACUUCCUUGCAAGUAUCUAGAUGCAGAAGAGUUGGUGAGAUGACUACAUUCCAAUACUGAGUGACCAAAGGAGCUCAAACAGCCAGCUUGGACCAGACACCAUACUCAAGAUGCAAGGAAUAAGGCAAAUCCCAUCUUUAGUAACCCAAAAGAUACCAGAGGCUUGCCAGUCAAAGAGGGUGACAGA